rnacentral:rRNA from 1 species
UUAGAGAUAGUGCCCCCCUUGUGGUCGGUAUACACCGUGGUGCAUGGCUGUCGUCAGCUGGGGCGGAUGUUGGGUUAAGUCCCGCAACGAGCGCAACCCUUGCCAGUGUUGCCAGCAUGCCCUUCGGGGUGAUGGGGACUCACAGGAGACCGCCGGGGUCAACUCGGAGGAAGGUGGCUCACGACGUCAAGUCAUCAUGCCCCUUAUGUCUUGGGCUGCACACGUGCUACAAUGGCCGGUACAAAGAGCUGCGAUGCCGUGAGGCGGAGCGAAUCUCAAAAAGCCGGUCUCAGUUCGGAUUGGGGUCUGCAACUCGACCCCAUGAAGUCGGAGUUGCUAGUAAUCGCAGAUCAGCAUUGCUGCGGUGAAUACGUUCCCGGGUCUUGUACACACCGA